AUCUCUUUCUGGAGAUCCCUGCCUAUCUGAUGCUCUUCCAAAGGGGAGUCCUUUUGUGGAGAAAGGCAGUAGUACAUGGUCAGAUGCUGUGCAAAUCCCUCUGGAGCCCCUGGAACAAGAAACAGAGGUGCAGCCCAGCUUACCUUGCAAGACAAACUUGGCCUUCAGCAACCUGAGCUAAAGAAUUACAGAAGUGGGGAAUAAGCCCAACUUGGUCUGUGAUGGUUCUUUGCUACUUCACUCCUCCAUGUGCAGCUUUGAUUACUGCUGGCUGAACACUAUGGAUGUAUGGCAGGCUUGACUGUCUGUGUAGCAGUAGGCUGAUAGCUGUAAUGGAAAUAGUUUCUCCUUCGAAUCAAGCAGCAAGCAGGGAGGUGUGCAAGAACAAAUCCACUUCUGUAAUGUUCCUGCAGCCAUAGACCACCAAACAAGUUUGGGAAGGCAGGACUGGAUGCCUGCUGCCAUCAGUGAACUGAGGACACAUCUUCACAUCAGCCUGAUUAUUCUUCACUCCAGGAAAACACUCUGAACUGAUGCUGCACCCCUCCCUGCUGAUCAAAAUCUCCUCAUUCCCCAUGGGACUCCCUGACCAUUUGGAAGCAGACCACAGGCUGGUGCACAGCACCCAUGCUGCACCAACUAAAAAAGCCUGGUGGAAAUUCUGCUGAUGUUAAUAAUUCAGUUAGGAGUUAAGGGAAGCUUUUGACGUACUCCUCCUCGUAGGUAGACGCCAGAGAUAUGGAAGUAAAAACACACAUGGAAAAGCCAGAAAUUGCUUGUUGCUUCAGGCUUAUUUUAAUUUCUUGCUCAGUAGGGAAUGCAUUAGCCCUUCACUUUGCUGGUGUAAGUAAAAAUAUUAGUUCUUCAGCUUUGGUUUUUCUGGUGGCUCUGGGGCUAAGAAUCUUUAAAUAAUGAAUGUACCAUCUGUCAGUAAGCUUAGCUACUAUUAUUUGGAUUAUAACCAGGAGUGUAUGUUACAAAAUAAAACAAUCUUCCUAAAAAGGAAGAGAUAGAUAACAAAAAGAAAUAGGACACAGAAGUUGUGGAUUCUCUGAGCAAGGGGAGAUACUGAAAUUUUAAACAAACAUUAGUGUUUUCUUCCUGUAUUUGCUAUGUUGCAAGGCAUGAGUCCCUGUUAGGCAGCUCAUGAGAUUUGUUCCCAUC
ensembl:lncRNA